UCGAUGAUUAUAAGUUUGCGGAAACAAACAGACGUAAAAUACACGGCGUUAUUCAAUUUUCCUUGCGAAUGUAUUGCAAAUCUAAAUUAGACGUUGCCGUUCAUUGCAUUUUGUCUGUUCAUGAUGAGUGAAGGCAAUUCUGUUAUUCCAAGCAUGCAAAAUAUUCACCAUUAUAAUAAAUAUGAUGGAAAAAUAGCAGGUUUAUACGACCUGGGAGAUGCAAUAGGACGCGGCCAUUUUGCAGUUGUUAAAUUGGCAAGACAUGUAUUCACUGGUGAGAAGGUUGCCGUAAAAGUAAUCGACAAAACAAAACUGGACGAUGUAUCUCGUGCUCACCUGUUCCAAGAGGUGAGAUGUAUGAAACUGGUGCAGCAUCCUAAUGUAGUGAGACUUUAUGAAGUGAUAGACACGCACACAAAACUUUAUUUAAUACUGGAGCUGGGAGAUGGUGGGGACAUGUAUGAUUAUAUUAUGAAACAUGACAAAGGAGUGAAUGAGGAAACCGCUAGAAAGUUUUUUCAGCAGAUUGUUCAUGCUAUAUCGUAUUGCCACCGACUUCACGUCGUGCAUCGUGACUUAAAGCCAGAAAAUGUAAUAUUUUUUGAAAAACUUGGAAUGGUUAAAUUAACAGACUUUGGCUUUAGUAACCGAUAUUACCCUGGACAAAAGCUGGAAACAUCAUGUGGAUCUUUAGCCUAUUCUGCACCAGAAAUUUUAUUAGGUGAUCUGUACGAUGCACCCAAAGUUGACGUAUGGAGUAUGGGUGUGAUUUUGUACAUGCUAGUUUGUGGCCACGCCCCUUUUCAGGAAGCCAACGAUAGUGAGACGCUGACGAUGAUAAUGGAUUGUAAAUAUUCACUUCCGAGUCACGUGUCAAAAGAAUGUAGCAAUCUGAUAGCAAGCAUGCUGGUACGAGAUCCGGAAAGACGAGCCACCUUAGAAGAGAUUGCGAACAACAGCUGGUUAAACUCUGGGGAUCUCAUUCAGCCAGCUGAUUAUCUACCUUUAAUUUCUCAUGAACAUCUUUCUGAGAAGGACCAUGCACUCAUUAUUCAGAAGUUGGUGAAGGGAAGCAUAGCUGCUAAGGAAGAGAUACUAGAAGCACUAAAAAAGAAUGAGUACAAUCACAUCACUGCUACGUACUUCCUGUUGGCAGAGAGAAGUCUUCGAGGUCAGCGGCAGGAAAAGGCCCGAAGGAUAAACAGAACUUCCAAAGGAGACCUUUCACCCAUUACAUCAGGAAACCCAAGUGACUUCUCACCGGGUCAGGAAAAACCAAACUCCGUACUUGAGAGUUUAAUAUCACCCCGAGUUGUAGCAAAACCACUGGGUUCAACCAACUUUCUUGCUCCUUCAAGUUUCUCAUCCACUGUUGCACAGAAUGGCCAGUCGUAUUUGCCGAUGGCACGUAAGUGUAGCGUAGUGUGCGAGGAAGAUGACGGCAGUAGCUCUGCAAAGUUGUUACCCCCACAAGCUUCAUUACCAACAAAGAAAGACAAGAGCAGCAUUCCUGUGCCACGCCCCACACUUCCUCUUUUUUUCCACAGCAGGAUAAAGUCUGCAACUAUUAAACCAAAACUAUCUCCAAUUUUAGCAUUUCCAAAUCAAAAAUUUAAAACUUUGCCUUCAUCUGGUAGAGGGCUUCAUGCUGUGAAAAGUUCUCCACAGUUGCUUCUAAAUGAAAUAGAUGAAGAAGUGGCAUCAGAUACUGAACCUUCUACAAAGACCCUCGGUUCCAAACAUUCACGAAAACACUUCCAGAGUGGAAAACGUAGUCCACAUUCUGUUUUAUCACAUGCAAUGUUUCGUCUGGUAGGACAGCGUCCAAAAAUAGGAAGAUCUCGUACAACUAGCUGCAGUAGCUCUGAGGCAAGUGAUGAUGAUGGUGAAGGGCUUAAACGAAAGAUGGGGAAGUUAAAGAGUUCAGGGAGAAGAGAUAGUAGUGAAGACCGUUCAGGUGGGCAGGGUGAGGGAUGUGGAGGAUCAGGACAAUCCGAGCCUGGAGCUGGAACAUCUCAUGGUAAUAUGAGUGGAGGAGGAGGUGGUGGUCAAAGUUCUGUAAAUAACAAGUCAGACGGUAGUAAAACCAACAGUAAUAAGUCACAAAGCCAACAAAAUGAGGCAGUAGAAGAGUCCAACCUUUCUAUACAACCUUCCUCUGUUAACACUACGGUACUUUCAACGGACAGCACUGAUAGUUUAGACAUAGAGCAAUGUCUCACCUGUUCUGUUUCUUGUGAUGAUCUUCUUGUGAAUUACACAGAGGACAACCAGUUGACAACUUCACAAGACAUUAAGUUUCAAGAAGAAUCUCCAGAACAGAAUUCGUUAUUUCCAAGACAAGAAGAUCCAAGCAACCUCACUCUUCAGGAAUCUUUAAGUUUCACAAAUCCCUCCAGUAAAGUUCCACUCAGUUUAAGCGUAAACAGUGGUUUCACUUUACUUCAACAAAUAGAAAAUCUUCCUUUGUACAGCAAAAAUGACAGUAAAUCGACAAGAAAAGAUCAAGGGCACCGACUGAAAAACAUAACUCACGGACUGACGCAACUGGUACAUUCUGCAACUAAGUUUGAUAUCAGUCAGAAUGGCUGGAGGGAACGUAGUCGUUCCAAAAGUAUGACCAGAAACAUCCAAUCUCUCAGAAAUGAACGCCAAGUUGUCGUCGACACGAAGCUUUCCUCCAAAUGCUGUACUUUGUGUUGACUUAAGUUACUACUUAUGGUAUACAGGUAAGACUAAAUAAAUCUGUAGUUCCCUUGUUUUAUAGAGAUCAGAUGAAAUAUGACAUAAACCUCAGCAGACAGUGGGUUUGUGAAAAUUGGAAGUACCUUUAGGCUCGUGUAAAUAGAACUCGGGUUGAUUUUACACCCCUGUGGUCAUGUGGUAGUUAUUUGUUUAACCUACACGCCACCAUGAGUUAGAUACCUGAUUGUAUACUACACGACCAGCUGCUCAGAACCCUACUUAACACAAAAAAUCAAAUAUUCAACGUGUAAUUUACGCAAGAUGAGAAAACACUACUAUACAUGUAUACCUUCCCGAGUCUAUUAAACAUAAUUUUUUUAAUUGUUAUAAAUUUAAUUAUUGCUUGUUUAAUAUUUUUGGAGGCACUGCCUUAUUAUAUUGUUAAGUUAAUCGUCAGUAAUUAUCUAUAUUGUUCGUUUCCAUGUACAUAGUUGUAGGUUAGUGAUAAAAACUUCAAGUGUUUAGAAUUAAAGUCACAAUAGAACAAAGUACAAAACUUUUUUUUAAUUUGCUGAAAUUCAAGGACACUACACAAAAUCAGUCACAACAGGGCACUAAUGAAAAGUGUUGGUGUGUGACUAGGAUCUAGUCACAUACACCAUUGCCCCCUGUGGUCCACAUAGAUAGCAACAACAUCUUAAUAAUGGUAAGACUAGUGUUAGAAAUCUACAAAAAUUAAUAUACACCCUAAACAUAGGGUAGCUUUCAGGCAUGUAUGCAUGUAUAUAUUCACAUGCACAUAUAGAUAUAUAUAUGUGCAUGUAUAU
rnacentral:misc_RNA from 1 species